rnacentral:rRNA from 1 species
AUUGAACGCUGGCGGCAUGCCUUACACAUGCAAGUCGAACGGCAGCACGGGGCAACCUGGUGGCGAGUGGCGAACGGGUGAGUAAUGCAUCGGAACGUACCUUUCAGUGGGGGAUAACGUAGCGAAAGUUACGCUAAUACCACAUAUUCUGUGAGCAGGAAAGCAGGGGAUCGCAAGACCUUGCGCUGAUUGAGCGGCCGAUGUCAGAUUAGCUAGUUGGUGAGGUAAAGGCUCACCAAGGCGACGAUCUGUAGCGGGUCUGAGAGGAUGAUCCGCCACACUGGAACUGAGACACGGUCCAGACUCCUACGGGAGGCAGCAGUGGGGAAUUUUGGACAAUGGGGGCAACCCUGAUCCAGCCAUGCCGCGUGAGUGAAGAAGGCCUUCGGGUUGUAAAGCUCUUUCGGCCGGGAAGAAAUCGCACGGGCUAAUACCCUGUGUGGAUGACGGUACCGGAAUAAGAAGCACCGGCUAACUACGUGCCAGCAGCCGCCGUAAGAC